AGCUUGCAAUAGAAAGGGGAGCCUAGGCCAGCAGCUCUUGUUUCUCAGGCACCCACUCCGAGCUUUUGAAGGAUGGCAACUUUUGUGCUGAUGACUGUGAGGCUGCAUAGAGAAAACAGGGUUAGAAAAGUGAAUUGAGAUGGCCAACAUCCAUGACCUGGACAGCAGCUGCAGACUCUUAAUUAAGAGUCUUUACUAGCUGGUUGGUGACCUGGACAAGGCCCUGCCACACUCAGGACACCUGCCUCUUCACUUUUCACAGGAAGAUUGGCUCUGGUCAUCCAGCUGAUGUUUUAGAAGCUGUGUGGAGGAAGUCAACCCUCCCUCCCCAAAGGUUUCAUCUCUUAUGCCCACCUAAUACAUAUUUUUGGAGAGGAAUGAACAAGGAAGACCCUCCAGGAGCAAAGCCAGAAGUCAUGGAGGAUAGUGGAAAAGGAAGAAGGAAGUAGAAAAAGAGAAGAAGGAAGUAGAUAAGUAAAACUUUAAGUCCACCUUAAGUUAUCCAAAUUCUCAUCAUGGCUAAACAUGCAUAUCACACAUGACACUUAGAAAAUCUCUUGCCUCCUGAGAAAACUACACAAAAAAGUAUAUCUGGUCUUUUCGUAAAUCGCUCAAUAGUUUUGCUUAACACUAAACACUAAAUAGAUUAAGUAUUGGGCCCUGUGGUAGGCAGCUUCUAACAUGGCUCUCUAUGGUCCCAUCUUCUGGUAUUCUCACUCCCUUUGUGUGACCCGCUCACCUUGAGUGUGGACUGGACCUAGUGAUGUACUUUUUUGUUUGUUUGAUAAAUAUAUUUACCAGAUUUUAUUUUUAAA